rnacentral:rRNA from 1 species
UACGUAGGGUGCGAGCGUUGUCCGGAAUUAUUGGGCGUAAAGAGCUCGUAGGCGGCUUGUCACGUCGGUUGUGAAAGCCCGGGGCUUAACCCCGGGUCUGCAGUCGAUACGGGCAGGCUAGAGUUCGGUAGGGGAGAUCGGAAUUCCUGGUGUAGCGGUGAAAUGCGCAGAUAUCAGGAGGAACACCGGUGGCGAAGGCGGAUCUCUGGGCCGAUACUGACGCUGAGGAGCGAAAGCUAGGGGAGCAAACGGG